rnacentral:rRNA from 1 species
UACAGAGGUCUCAACCGUUGUUCGGAUUCAUUGGGCGUAAAGGGUGCGUAGGCGGUCGCGCAAGUCGGAUGUGAAAUCUCAGGGCUCAACCCUGAAACUGCAUUCGAUACUGCGUGGCUAGAGUGCUGGAGAGGAGACUGGAAUUUACGGUGUAGCAGUGAAAUGCGUAGAUAUGACAUAGAACACCAAUUGCGAAGGCAGCUCACUACGCGAAUAUUGACACUGAGGCACGAAAGCGUGGGGAUCAAACAGG